rnacentral:rRNA from 1 species
UGGGCAACCUGCCCUAGGGAGCGGGACAACCCGAGGAAACUCGGGCUAAUACCGCAUGAUUCGUCGUGCCAUAAGGCGCGACGGGAAAUGGUAGCUUCGGCCUCCGCCCUAGGAUGGGCCCGCGCCGCAUUAGCUUGUUGGUGAGGUAACGGCUCACCAAGGCAACGAUGCGUAGCUGGUCUGAGAGGACGAUCAGCCACACUGGGACUGAGACACGGCCCAGACCUCUACGGGAG